GACAGAGGUGCCGAGCGUUAGGCGGAAUCACUGGGCUUAAAGCGUGUGUAGGCGGAUGCCUAAGUACCCUGUGAAAUCCCACGGCUUAACCGUGGAACUGCUUGGUAUACUGGGUGUCUUGAGCCACUUAGGGGCGACCGGAACAAACGGUGGAGCGGUGAAAUGCGUAGAUAUCGUUUGGAACGCCAAUGGUGAAAACAGGUCGCUGGGAGUGUGCUGACGCUGAGACACGAAAGCCAGGGGAGCGAACGGG
rnacentral:rRNA from 1 species